rnacentral:rRNA from 1 species
UACGAAGGGGGCUAGCGUUGCUCGGAAUGACUGGGCGUAAAGGGCGCGUAGGCGGUUUGUACAGUCAGGUGUGAAAUUCCCGGGCUCAACCUGGGGGCUGCACUUGAUACGUAGGAACUGGAGUGGGGAAGAGGGUCGUGGAAUUCCCAGCGUAGAGGUGAAAUUCGUAGAUAUUGGGAAGAACACCGGUGGCGAAGGCGGCGACCUGGUCCUUGACUGACGCUGAGGCGCGAAAGCGUGGGGAGCAAACAGG